GAUGAACGCUGGCGGCGUGCUUAACACAUGCAAGUCGAACGAUGAAGCCCAGCUUGCUGGGUGGAUUAGUGGCGAACGGGUGGGUAACACGUGAGUAACCUGCCCUUAACUCUGGGAUAAGCCUGGGAAACUGGGUCUAAUACCGGAUAGGAGCGUCCACCGCAUGGUGGGUGUUGGAAAGAUUUAUCGGUUUUGGAUGGACUCGCGGCCUAUCAGCUUGUUGGUGAGGUAAUGGCUCACCAAGGCGACGACGGGUAGCCGGCCUGAGAGGGUGACCGGCCACACUGGGACUGAGACACGGCCCAGACUCCUACGGGAGGCAGCAGUGGGGAAUAUUGCACAAUGGGCGCAAGCCUGAUGCAGCGACGCCGCGUGAGGGAUGACGGCCUUCGGGUUGUAAACCUCUUUCAGUAGGGAAGAAGCGAAAGUGACGGUACCUGCAGAAGAAGCACCGGCUAACUACGU
rnacentral:rRNA from 1 species